ACACUUUGAAGUUUUAGUAUUAAGGUAUUCACCUUCCUUGAAAAUCAAUUGCAUUUUUGUUCUGUGAUCAAUAUUAUCCCUCGGUUUGCACAGCACCAAAUUGUCAACUUUUUCUGAUUUAAUAAUUCUUGUCUUGUCAUUCUCUCCUUCCCAGAGCUCCCUUCCCCAAUCAACCACUCUUCAUUGAUUAGAAAGGGAGGUGGCAGAUAGGAGUGAAGGGCAAAGAGGAGAGAUUUGGAAGAGAUCCCCAGUGUUGAGACUACCCAAAA
rnacentral:lncRNA from 1 species